UGGGGAAUAUUGGACAAUGGGCGAAAGCCUGAUCCAGCAAUGCCGCGUGAGUGAUGAAGGCCUUAGGGUUGUAAAGCUCUUUUACCAGGGAUGAUAAUGACAGUACCUGGAGAAUAAGCUCCGGCUAACUCCGUGCCAGCAGCCGCGGUAAUACGGAGGGAGCUAGCGUUGUUCGGAAUUACUGGGCGUAAAGCGUACGUAGGCGGUUAUUCAAGUCAGAGGUGAAAGCCUGGAGCUCAACUCCAGAACUGCCUUUGAAACUAGAUAGCUAGAAUCUUGGAGAGGUUAGUGGAAUUCCGAGUGUAGAGGUGAAAUUCGUAGAUAUUCGGAAGAACACCAGUGGCGAAGGCGACUAACUGGACAAGUAUUGACGCUGAGGUACGAAAGCGUGGGGAGCAAACAGGAUUAGAUACCCUGGUAGUCCACGCCGUAAACGAUGAUAACUAGCUGUUCGGGCUCUACGAGCUUGAGUGGCGCAGCUAACGCA
rnacentral:rRNA from 1 species